AAACUCUCACUCCCCUAACACUCUUCAUCAUCCAUCACAUCUCCUCUUGCAAACCAACGUAAAACACUAACUAAGAGAUCAAUAUGGCUGGAGUGAUGAAGUUGGCAUGCAUGGUCUUGGCUUGCAUGAUUGUGGCCGGUCCAAUCACAGCGAACGCGCUUAUGAGUUGUGGCACCGUCAACGGCAACCUGGCAGGGUGCAUUGCCUACUUGACCCGAGGUGCUCCACUUACCCAAGGGUGCUGCAACGGCGUUACUAACCUUAAAAACAUGGCCAGUACAACCCCAGACCGUCAGCAAGCUUGCCGUUGCCUUCAAUCUGCCGCUAAAGCCGUUGGUCCCGGUCUCAACACUGCCCGUGCAGCUGGACUUCCUAGCGCAUGCAAAGUCAAUAUUCCUUACAAAAUCAGCGCCAGCACCAACUGCAACACGUAUGUGAUCUUUUCACUCUUAUAAGUAUAUGUUAUAAAUUUUUUAGUUUAUUUUGUUAAAUAUUGGAAACUUAUAUUAACGUUGUUAUGUUAAUUUGUAUGUGAAUGCAGCGUGAGGUGAUGAGCGACGGUCAAAUGAAGCUACUAGCGGAUGUUUCGAAUAUUAUAUAAUCGAUGAGAUAAUAUUAAAUAAAGAUGUUCGAAUGGCUGUACUCUUUUCAAUUUCCUGUCUUUUUUUAUCGUGGCGUUUCUAUUAUGUGAUCGUCUGUACUAUGUUCGCAAACAACGUUCUUUGAAUUUCAGACUUGAAGUUUAAGUUAUUCUAUACUCUAUAUCUAUACUAACACUUACUUUAGUUUAAUCGAUAUGACCAAAAUGAUUAACUUGCAUUACAGUUGGGAAGUAUCAAGUAAACAACAUUUUGUUUUUGUUUGAUAUCGGGAAUCUCAAAACCAAAGUCCACACUAGUUUUUGGACUAUAUAAUGAUAAAAGUCAGAUAUCUACUAAUACUAGUUGAUCAGUAUAUUCGAAAACAUGACUUUCCAAAUGUAAGUUAUUUACUUUUUUUUUGCUAUUAUAAUUAAGAUCAAUAAAAAUGUCUAAGUUUUAAAUCUUUAUCAUUAUAUCCAAACAAUCAUAAUCUUAUUGUUAAUCUCUCAUCAACACACAGUUUUUAAAAUAAAUUAAUUACCCUUUGCAUGAUACCGAAGAGAAACGAAUUCGUUCAAAUAAUUUUAUAACAGGAAAUAAAAUAGAUAACCGAAAUAAAGAUAGAAUGAUUUCUUAGUACUAACUCUUAACAACAGUUUUAUUUAAAUGACUUUUGUAAAAAAAACAAAGUUAACUUAUACACGUACACGUGUCGAAAAUAUUAUUGACAAUGGAUAGCAUGAUUCUUAUUAGAGUCAUGUAAAAGAUAAACACAUGCAAAUAUAUAUAUGAAUAAUAUGUUGUUAAGAUAAACUAGACGAUUAGAAUAUAUAGCACAUCUAUAGUUUGUAAAAUAACUAUUUCUCAACUAGACUUAAGUCUUCGAAAUACAUAAAUAAACAAAACUAUAAAAAUUCAGAAAAAAACAUGAGAGUACGUUAGUAAAAUGUAUUUUUUUGGUAAAAUAAUCACUUUUCAUCAGGUCUUUUUGUAAAGCAGUUUUCAUGUUAGAUAAACGAGAUUUUAAUUUUUUUUAAAAAGAAGUAAACUAACUAUGUUCCUAUCUACACACCUAUAAUUUUGAAACAAUUACAAAAACAAACAAUGAAAAUGCAAAGAAGGACGUAGGCACUGUCACACUACAAAUACGUUAAUAAAAUGUAUUUUGGUCGAAUUAUAACUUUCCAUACGAUAAAGUUGAAUUAACAUGUCAAACAAAAGAGAUGAGUGGUCCUAUACAUAGUUAGGAAUUAGGAACCUCUAAAUUAAAUGAGUACAACCACCAACUACUCCUUCCCUCUAUAAUCUAUCGCAUUCACACCACAUAACAUAUACGUACCUACUCUAUAUAACACUCACUCCCCAAACUCUCUUCAUCAUCCAUCACUACACACAUCUCCUAUUGCAAACGAACAUAAAACACUACCUAAGAGAUCAAUAUGGCUGGAGUGAUGAAGUUGGCAUGCUUGCUCUUGGCCUGCAUGAUUGUGGCCGGUCCAAUCACAUCGAACGCUGCGCUAAGCUGUGGCUCAGUUAACAGCAACUUGGCAGCGUGCAUUGGCUACGUGCUCCAAGGUGGUGUCAUUCCCCCAGCGUGUUGCUCCGGCGUUAAAAACCUCAACAGCAUAGCCAAGACGACCCCAGACCGUCAGCAAGCUUGCAAUUGCAUUCAAGGUGCCGCUAGAGCCUUAGGCUCUGGUCUCAACGCUGGCCGUGCAGCUGGAAUUCCUAAGGCAUGUGGAGUCAAUAUUCCU
rnacentral:lncRNA from 1 species